UACGAAGGGGGCUAGCGUUGCUCGGAAUCACUGGGCGUAAAGGGCGCGUAGGCGGCCAUUCAAGUCAGAGGUGAAAGCCCAAGGCUCAACCUUGGAACUGCCUUUGAUACUGUUUGGCUUGAGACCGGUAGAGGUAAGUGGAACUGCGAGUGUAGAGGUGAAAUUCGUAGAUAUUCGCAAGAACACCAGUGGCGAAGGCGGCUUACUGGACCGGUUCUGACGCUGAGGCGCGAAAGCGUGGGGAGCAACAGGAUAGAACCCAGAUAC
rnacentral:rRNA from 1 species